GGCGCAGAGAGAGGCCCAAGUGAGAUUAGCUAGUUGGUGAGGUAAAGGCUCACCAAGGCGACGAUCUCUAGCUGUUCUGAGAGGAAGAUCAGCCACACUGGGACUGAGACUCGGCCCAGACUCCUACGGGAGGCAGCAGUGGGGGAAUAUUGCACAAUGGGGGAAACCCUGAUGCAGCCAUGCCGCGUGUGUGAAGAAGGCCUUCGGGUUGUAAAGCACCUUCAGUUGUGAGGAAAAGUUAGUAGUUAAUACCUGCUAGCCGUGACGUUAACAACAGAAGAAGCACCGGCUAACUCCGUGCCAGCAGCCGCGGUAAUACGGAGGGUGCGAGCGUUAAUCGGAAUUACUGGGCGUAAAGCGCACGCAGGCGGUUUGUUAAGCUAGAUGUGAAAGCCCCGGGCUCAACCUGGGAUGGUCAUUUAGAACUGGCAGACUAGAGUCUUGGAGAGGGGAGUGGAAUUCCAGGUGUAGCGGUGAAAUGCGUAGAUAUCUGGAGGAACAUCAGUGGCGAAGGCGACUCCCUGGCCAAAGACUGACGCUCAUGUGCGAAAGUGUGGGUAGCGAACAGGAUUAGAUACCCUGGUAGUCCACACCGUAAACGCUGUCUACUAGCUGUUUGUGAUUUUAAAUCGUGAGUAGCGAAGCUAACGCGCUAAGUAGACCGCCUGGGGAGUACGGCCGCAAGGUUAAAACUCAAAUGAAUUGACGGGGGCCCGCACAAGCGGUGGAGCAUGUGGUUUAAUUCGAUGCAACGCGAAGAACCUUACCUACACUUGACAUGCAGAGAACUUUCUAGAGAUAGAUUGGUGCCUUCGGGAACUCUGACACAGGUGCUGCAUGGCUGUCGUCAGCUCGUGUCGUGAGAUGUUGGGUUAAGUCCCGCAACGAGCGCAACCCUUGUCCUUAGUUGCCAGCAUUAAGUUGGGCACUCUAAGGAGACUGCCGGUGACAAACCGGAGGAAGGUGGGGACGACGUCAAGUCAUCAUGGCCCUUACGUGUAGGGCUACACACGUGCUACAAUGGCAUUUACAGAGGGAAGCGAGACAGU
rnacentral:rRNA from 1 species